AUGCUUGGGGUCCUUUUUUGGGGUGUCCCCAAAUUUUUGGGAUCCCUUUUGGGGUGUCCCCAGAUUUUUGGGGUCCCUUUUGGGGGGUUCCCAAAUAUUUGGGGUCCCUUUUGGGGUGUCCCCAUAGGUCUGGGUCCUGUUUUGGGGACACCCGGGUCCCUUUUGGGGGUGUUUCCAAAUGCUUGGGGUCCUUUUUUGGGGUGUUCCCAGAUUUUUGGGGUCCAUUUAGGGGCUUUCCAAAUGUUUGGGGUCCUUUUUGGGUUGUCCCCAAAUGUUUGGGGUCCCUUUUGGGGUGACCCUAUAUGUCUGGGUCCUGUUUUGGGGACGCAUGGGUCUCUUUUCGGGAUGUCCCCAAACUCUUGGGUUCCUUUUUGGGGGGGUUCCCAGAUUUUUGGGGUCCCUUUUGGGGUGUCCCAAAAUUUUUGGGGUCCUUUUUGGGGUGUCCCCGGGUUUGUGGGGUCCCGGGGGUCCCCCUGUGACCCCCCCUUGUCCCCGUGUCCCCCCCCAAAUUCCCGUGUCCCCCCCCCCCCAAAAAAUUCCCAUCUCCUUUCGGCACCAACCCCAUGCGCCCUGCUCCUGUUUUUGGGAUUCUCCAUUCCUUGGGGGAUCCCACCCUUUUUUGGGGUCCCUUUUUGGGGUAUCCCCGGGUUUGUGGGGUCUCGGGGGUCCCCGUCUGACCCCCCCUUGUCCCUGUGUCCCCCCCCCCAUUCCCCUGUCCCCCCCCCCCCCACAAAAAAUUCCCCUCUCCUUUCGGCACCAACCCCAUGCGCCCCGGUCCCGUUUUUGGGAUUCUCCAUUCCGGGAGGGAUCCCACCCUUUUUUGGGGUCUUUUUUGGGGUGUCCCCGAACUUGUGGGGUCCUGGGGGUCCCCGCCUGACCCCCCCUUGUCCCCGUGUCCCCCCCCAAAUUCCCGUGUCCCCCCCCCCAAAUUCCCAUCUCCUUUUGGCACCAUGCGCCCCGCUCCCGUUUUUGGGAUUCUCCAUUCCGGGGGGGAUCCCAACCCUUUUUAGGGUCCUUUUUGGGGUGUCCCCGGGCUUUUGGGGUCCCGGGGGUCCCCCUGUGACCCCCCCAAAUUCCCGUGUCCCCCCCCCAGGCAGCUGUUCUGUGAUUUUGGGGACGACAUGGUGGUGA
rnacentral:lncRNA from 1 species